CUUGUGUAAGUUGUGGUUAUUGCCAUUGUUUAAUUUAUUUGCCUCAUUGUUGUCACUUUAAUUUAAGAUUUUUUGCUUUGUGUUUUAUUAAACCACACCAGGUAUAACAAACAUUUAUGUGUAUCUCUUAGGAGCAGUCUAGUGUGCAAUCUCUUUUUUUAUCACAUAUUUAUCCAUGACACAAAUCACUACAAAAAGAAAAAAUGGUGUUUGUUUUUAUUUUAACAUAGAAUUGACCUGGAUGAAGUGUAACCUUCCAGCUCCAAUUGUGGACAUUGUGGCUCAAUAGUAGAAGAUGAUAUGACGACUUCAACUCUGCAUCAUUUUCUAUUCUACUAAUAGUCCUUGUAACCACUGUAAUUUAAGUUGUAUUUAUAUUUCACAUUACCCCUAUUACUGGAUAUGUGGAGUAAUUCAUGCUAAGUACAGUUAAUUCACUCCUACACACAAAUCCACAACGAUGUGUAAUUGAUGUUGAAAUCCAUUUUAAAAACGCAUUAAUUGGAUGUAGAGAGGAGUGGGCAUUGAAAACCUCAUUGGGAGUUGCAGUCGAUGAGGAAUGGACAGGGCAGUAAUGGCAGUAGGGAGGAGAGGGAAUUGUCUAACAAAAUACCGGUAGUAGUAAACCAUUUCCCACUUGUGAAGUAGCAGUUCUCCUUAGAUUUCAUAGGUCUGGCAGGCUGCGGCAGUAUUGGGUCCAAACAAGAGCAAUCUGUAUGGAACAUUUCAAAAAAAUUUAAUAGAUUGUCCUGUUUAUAUCUCCAGCCCACUAGUUCUUAACCCAGUCAUCAAGGAACACCAUCUGCACUGGUUUUCUCUGUAUUUCCAUUUGGACAGAAUUUGGAAAUACUUGACGGUUGGUGUGCAUCACACAACUGUGACCAGUCAACGUGGAAGUUGGGUCCACAGACAUAUUUUUAACAGUUUAGUAGAUAUAACACAUUCAUGCAAUGUAGAAAUCCGCACAUUUAUGAAAUAAACCAGGGAAACACAUUGUUCACUUAUGAGAGACUUCAGCACAUGGAUUGCGCUUUGUGUUUCGAGUGUUCGUUUAAAGCAUGGAUGUCCAAUCUUUUGACUUCCCCAGGCCACAUUGAGCAAAUAUAAAUUGUCUUGGGCAACACAUAAAAUAUAUAAUUUAAUUUAUAUAAUAAAACUUCAAAAGCCCUUUUCUUAAGUUUGAUAUUUAAUUUGUUUAAUAUAUAACACUUAUAUUUGUUAUUACAUAUUUAAGAAUACGAAAUUAGGGAGCUAUCUACUAAACACAUAUGUGUAUACAUAUACACAUAACCACAUAUAUACACGCGCACACAUACAAUCCCAUACCUAUAUACACACAAUCAAAUACACACACAAUUAUCACAUUCAGACACAUUUAGUAAAGAAUGGCUCCACCCAGCCUCUCCACCUUGCUCUGGGAUGGCUGGAGUGGAUCAUCUCCCUGGUGGCCGAUGGGAUUACUGUGCUCUUCCUGCACAGGUCCCUUGUGCAUCCAGUAAUGAUACUGCUGCAAGAAUUAAAUCAUAUCCCAACUGCCGGCUCACUGCAGGACGCGUGAGGGAGCUGUGCAAAAAGAUCAGAGUAAGUAAUGGGCUCCCUCAGCAGCCCGGACAGCAACUAGGCCACGAGUUGGACACGCCUUUUUUUUAAGGAAUAUUUUUUAACCCCUUAAGGACACAACUUGUGAAAUAAAAGGGAAUUAUGACGGAAUAUUUCCGUCAUGUGUCCUUAAGGGGUUAAAGAAGUAUAUUGUAUAUAAAUACAUUUGCUGGCUGUUUAGUAUUCUAAGUUGAUUUACUUGUGAAAAUGUCAGAAAGAGGCAAGAGAAUCAAAAGGUUCUUGGGCGUUUCAUACAAUAAUAGAAUUUAAAUAGUGCACCUAGUAUUGCAGACGGUACAGGAAAUUAAUGGUGGAUUUCUGUGUUUACAUUUACAAAGCCACUUGGAAUAUAUUGACUCAAUGUUUUAUUUGUAAUUUAACAUUAUUGUUUAAUCAAUACUUUGUUGACCAAAGGAUAGGAAUAUAGCAGAUAAGCACAGUGGAAGGGAAGUUAAUAGAACAAUAUGUAUCAUCUGUGACACUGCAGGUGUGUUAUAAACGUGACUAAUAAUUUUCCAUUGAAACACUUGUAAUUUAUGUUUCUCUGGGAGUUUAUUCUGUUUUAAAGGGACAGUUUAGGCAUCAUAACUUUAUCUAAGUUAAGUUGUUAUAGUGCCAGGAAGUUCCUGGAGUUGGCUCAUCUUAUGGGGUUAAACCAUUUAUGAAACUGGCUUGGAAAAGGUACAUUUCUUUUCAAGCCAGUUUAAUGAAUGGGGGUUCACUGAUUGACUGAGAGAGUCAGCUGACUGCUCUCAGCCCAUCAGCGGCACAGACUUUAGGGUUAAAUUGUUCAAAAACUAUUUAAGCUGAGCCAGUGCCAGGGAUCUCCCAGCACAAUAACAAAUACAUUUCAACGCAUGGAGUGUCCCUUUAUUGAUGUAAAGGCAAAUGAGAAAGGCAUAGGCUGAUUUUGUAAAAAGUUUUUAAAAACUUAUUUUUUUUUAAUUACAUUUGUAAAUUAGACAAGGAUAUGUACAAAAACAGGCAUGGCUGGGAUAUACUAGGAAACAGUAUAUGAUGGUAAUAUCAUUAUGAUAUCAUAAACACAGCAUGUCUGUUCCUUGCAGUCAUAUUGCACUCCCCACCCAUUCAUAAAGCAACCAUGCUUCCCUUUUUGCUGUAAUCAAUGCCACCAGGUUCUCCUCUGUUUCCAGCCAUCCAUCUGGUUACAGCUAUGUUCUCCAUCGGCAGCCAUCCAUGGCCUUGAGGAUUUUGUUCACAUUACUUUCUAGACAUCUAUGCCCAUGCAGCCAUGUUCUCCUUCCCCAAUCAUUCAUGCCCAAUACAACUAACCCCACUUUAAGAUGCAUUUUUUAAUGAAAUUAGUAAAUUGAUGAUUUUAUUUGGUUUCAUUUAGUGUUUAAUGAUUAUAGACAAACCAUUUUGUAUAAUGUGAAUCCAUGCCAGGAUUUAUCAGGGACAAAAUAUGCCAAUUGAUUUGGGUAUAAAUAACCCUUGGAAGGCUCUAUAUCCUUGAUAUAGUCUGUGACCAUAGACAAAAUGUGUAGACUUUCGAAUUCUAUUUCCCCAGGAACCGGUUAGUGUGCACUGUACCCUUAAGGAAGCCGCUGUGUUUGAUUACCCAGUGUUGGAAUACUGCCCCCACACGUAUAAUCUCUAUCCUGACUGGCGGUAGCUGCCAGCAGGGCGGUGGUGAGUUGGAGUGGUCAGCCAGUUUUUGUGUCUGGCACACUGAGGCUUCUCUCUUCCAGCUAAUUGCAGCAUCUUGGACUUUCAACCCCCAUCUGGCUUUGGUCCUUUAUCCUUUACAUCGAGGAGAGGCCAAUACCAGAGUAAGAGAACAUCUUCCAGCAAUUGUUCUUUGUUAACGAGAUUUUUCACAUGUGACUAUUUUAUUUUGCAGAAGAGAAAAAAGGCAACAUCUAAAGCACAAAACGUAUCUUCAGUCUUAGAGACACACACACAUAUAAAUAUAUAUAUAUAUAAUGUGCUUCACUAAUAUUAGCACCUUGGCAAAUAUAAGGAAAGAAGGCUGAAAAUUUGUCUGUCUUUAACCUUUUGUUAAAAAAAAAAAAAAAAAAUACUCUGCUCUCAUGGAUAUCAAACAAUUGCAAGCACAACACAUCUUUGUUAAAUAUAGGUGUGGUGCAAUUAUUGGCACCCUUAUACAUUUAUAUGAGAAAAAUAUAUUUGAAAUAUAUUCCUUUUGAUAUUUUCAUUUUUUUUAGUACACCUGCGUGACUUGGAACAGGAACUUGUUCAACCAUGACUUCCUGUUUCACAGGGGUAUAACUAUGAGGUAACUUAUAGGCCUAAUUAGUCAUUCAUCACAAUGGGCAAGACCAAGGAAUAUAGUUGUGAUGUGCGGCAAAAGGUUGUUGAGCUUCAAAAAGAGGGAAGUGGCUAUAAGAAAAUAUGAAAAGCAUUGAAAAUGCCCAUUUCCACCAUCAGGGCAAUAUUUAAGACUUUCCAGUAAACUGGAAAUAUGCAUCAAACCUGGAAGAGGAUGUGUGUCUAUAUGUUCAUUCAUGCAUUGUAAAGAGGAUGGUUUGAGUGGCCCAAAAAAUUAAAAGAAUCACGUCUUCAGAAUUGCAGCAGUUAGUUGAGUGUUGGAGUCAGAAAGUCUCCAAAGCUACAAUUCAUCACCACAAGUUGGACUCUAUCAAAUAUCUAUAGAUAUUAAAUGAACACCUAACUGCCUCUGCCAGAGAGCUUACAGUGGGCUGUGCCUGGAUCUUCCAGCAGGACAAUGAUCCAAAACAUUUAUCAAAAUAAACAUAAAAAUGGUUUACUGGCCACAAAUAGAAGAUAUUGCAAUGGCCAUCCCAGUCCCCUGACGUGGGCCUUACAGAAAACCUCUGGGGUGAACUGAAGAGGAGAGCCCACCAGCAUUGACCUCGAAAUUUAAAGGAUCUGAAAAGAUUCUGUACGGAGGAAUGGCCUCAGAUCCCUUGCCAUGAGGUUCUACCUCCCAACAACACACGGUGCAAUAUACUAAUUGGACCCCAACUAGGAAGCAGAAAAAGAGAUGAAACUGGUAAGAGAGGAACCGGGACCAUCGUCUACAGAGUUUUAUCACACUCAGCCAACCAGAUACACAACACAAUUAUCGAACACAUAUCAUACACUCUCAGAGAAGCUCGGUGAUAUAUUUAUGUUCAGAUUUUAAGUCUUAUUGCUAUGGAGCUUUGAGAAACAAAUACUGUAAAUUUCUUAUAGGUUUAAUGCUAUAAUGUAAUACAAUCCUACACUCUGCUCAUACUGUAAGGUUUAUUGCUGUGGAGCUCUGUAAAACACAAAUUCACACUGCACAUUACUGUGAGUUUUGUUAAACUUUUCAACUAAUUAAAAGUGAUGGGCAUGAUUUGGAUUCCCUUACACGUUUCAGUUGCUCUUCGAUGGUUAUCUUGAGACCUUUGCUGCUUACCAAUGACUGGCAAAUACUGAAUGUGUGUGGGUAAAUCUGACCCGGUGUGGAACACAGACUGAGAGGUCACAUGAGAAGAAAGUUGUUCUAACAUGUAUAUAAGAACAGUAGUUCCUUUUUUUUUUUUUUUAGUCUGUCUGCUGUGACUUGGCAGACCCUACCCAAUUGUAUAUGGAUAAUGGCCAGGAAAAUAAAUAUUACAUUUUCUCUAAAAUAAACUAUAUACACACCCAACAAAGUUUGAUGUACUUCCUGAUGACAUGUACAAUAAUUUUAUUAUUGGAGAAAAUUGCUUAGAAAGGAGGGGGCCAAAAGUGAUGGGCUUAAGGAGCUCUGACAUCAUUGGUCUUUGUUUAGGAACUUGAAGGAAGAGGAAGUAUUUACAAUUGAGGGAGAUGGGGCACUGGAAGCAGGCAUUUUCCAAACCCUGUUAAAUUGUAACACAGCUAAUUUUUGUUUUUAAAUGCCAAAUCCCGUAAAAUGCAUAAAUGUUGUGUUGGUUUCUGGAGUGUCCUUUAUACACUAACACACUUUACAGUCCAAAUCCUGUGG
rnacentral:lncRNA from 1 species